rnacentral:lncRNA from 1 species
UCGGGACAUCGCGGCAGUUGUCACGAGCUCGAAAAGAGUAUCGGGUCAUGACAUAUCUAGCCAAAAUUUCAUUGCAGCGAGAAUGCCUUUUCGUUGUGGUGAGAGUUAAUUUAUUAUGCUUGACUUGCUUGAAUUCUACUAAAGUUUUCACUUCUCAACUUCUUUGCUGUUCAUGAGUCUUUCGUCAUCAAGUGACUAAACGACCAAGGGCUUGAAUGAGGGGUUUUUAAAUAGAAAUAAACUAAAUUGUAUUGUUUUGAACUUAAGUGUGUCAUCAUUUUUAAACCUUCCUUAAUGUUGGUUGUUCCCUUCCUAUGUUCAUUUACUGAGUUUGUACUCACGUUUUUAAAUUUCAUGUUUAGGUUUUCCUGAGUUAAAGGUGAUUGGAUCUUAGGACGAGGUGCUCCUUCCUAUACAUUGCUCGGUAGGUUUAACGUGACACUAAGUGUUAUCAAUCGUGCCCAGAGUCACUCCGCUGACGAUCAAGGUCUAAUUAUAUGUAUAUG